rnacentral:sRNA from 1 species
CUAAGUAUUCUGUCGGCCAUUAAAAAUCAUCAUGCCUUCAUUUCAAUCAUAUUCACGCAAUUGCAGGGUGAAAAAUGAAAAUGUUGAAAGGAUGCCCCAACAGCAUUAGCUAGAAGCAAAAAAAAAAAAUAACAACAACAACGACAACAAUGGAGAGCGCUUCAACAACAAUGGAGAGCAGAAAGCGAAGCACUAGAAAUGUGCUGACAUGAUGGAAUGGCUGCAUGACGUCUGGCACUGAAUGAGUGCAGUUAUGAUUGAUGUAAUUUUGAUGAAAGUAAUCACAUUUCCAUCCAGCAUUGCGAAGCCCUUUAAAGCCGUUUCACAUUUCAUUGGGAAUUUAUUUGCAAGAAGUUUUAACUCCAACACUUAUCCAGCCCUUCAACUUCAGAUGCUGGCGCUAUGACAACGGCAAAAUCGGUUGAAAGUCCCAUUGGCAACAACUUUCAAGCACAUCUCACAUGCCAAAUCCAUUUUUUUUUUCAGGCAGCCAUAAUUCCAUUAAUUUGCGUGUUCACAUCAAAUUGGAUUUUCAGUUAAGCCGCAGCUUUUGCUGUUCAGCGAAAAGUUCACUGAGACGAACGAGAUUCAGGGUUUUAGCUUUGACAGCCAGUCAAAUGAACAUUAUAUUUUCAUUCAACUUAAUUUCAUAAUUUGUAUACCCUGCAUACCUGAAA